CAAAUGUGAAUGUCUGAUAGUGAUUUUUUGUGACUGAUUUAUCAUUUAUUAAAGCCGAUAAAAGUUGAAAAAAUGAAACAAAAAAAAAAGCCAAGUUAUUAACUGAAUUUAAGCAAUGUGGCAAUGUCGAUUCUCCUUUCUAUUGUGGAAGUGUUUUACAAACGUUGAUUCUCUCCGGAACGAACGUCUGUAAUCUUGUAGGUAAAUAAUUGGCUUAGUGAGGUUACUCGUCGAAUGGCUGCGAACGCGUCCACCGACAAUUCGUUUCCCCUUACAAUAAUGGAAUGUGAAACCGCGCUUUCUUGUGAAGGCGGUGAAAGUUCUCAGAAUUCUUCCUCACACAAUGGAUCCUACCAUAGUUCAUUAAUUAAUGAACUAGCGAAAAUGGUGAUGAACUUCAAGGCUAAAGCUUUACUGUUGGAAGAUGAACAGGAAACACUACUGUCAAUUUUAAUGAACUUACGAGAAGAACUUCCUGCAGAACCCUCUACAAUUUCUGGGUUGGGAGCAGUUAAUGUUGCUGAUAAUUUAAUUGCCACUUUGGCAGAUGUAAAUUUGAAAGUAACCACUAAACGCAGCAGUCAUGAAGAGGAAGCUCUGCAUCAAGUUAAUAACAUGAUCAGUAAACUUGUUUUUCAAGCCCAAAAUGAAGUGCAUAGCACCAAAGAGCUAUGCCAUGUUUACAUCAGAUCUUGUUACCAGCCAGGUCAAUGUACAGAUGAAUCAAACUUAGGUGAGGGAGAUUCCUUUCAGUCAUUCAUUCUUAGAUGUGCACCAGAUGAUAAACAGCGUAUCAGAAGAAGAUUGCAUGGAUUGUUAAACUAUAUUGAUUCUCUACUCAAGGAUAUUUAUUCCCCUACUAAUGAGGUGACUGAAAAAUAAAAUAUGUUUACAGGUAAAUCAUGGCAGGUGUGUGUCACAGGGAUUCUUUUUUUCAUUGCAUAAAGCGUUAAAAGACAAUUUACUUGCAGGGCGAGGAUUUGUUUUUUAUCAGGUAACCGUAGAUAUAGUUGUAUUGUUAAAACUACAUAAGCAUGUUUGUACGCAUACAAGUAUUUGAUAAUUCGCAAAAAUAACGUGGAUUACGCGAAGGAAUGCAUGAAAGACGGAAUUACCAUUCAAUAUCGCAGUAGCUUACGCCAUUAAUCGGAUUAACAUUGAAGCCACGACGAAGAAGGCGGCACCUUGAGUAAAAGUUAAAAUUUCAUGAACGACGUUUUGAUUAUGAACACUGAAAAGUUGCUGAGAAAAAAAAAUCGCUUAUUCACCUGUGUUCUUCCAAACGUGGAGCGGCGAGCCGUGGAUCAUUGGUACUGGCACUAGACCAAAGCCUUUCAGCUACAGCCGAAGCUCGAGGCCAUGUAAUAGACGUAACACUCACAGCAUCGAUAAAUUCUCCCCACAUGCAUGCCUCGCCGCCAAUUACCUUAUUGAACAAAAUGGAGGACACAGUAAAUGGUGAAGUAGGAGCACGUUAUGAUCACAGCUUUCAUUGUAAUUCGAUCUAUAACUCACCAAUCUUUUUUGGCUUUCCGUUCCAUUAAAUGAUAAGGGUUCUGCUAAAUAAUAACGAUCCCAGUCGACGCCGUAAUUGAUGUAAUUGAGGUACCAGGGAGAAGAAAGUACAGUGCGAUAGCCAAAUUUUGUCACCUGCGAAACGAAUAGCCAUUACGCUUCUUGGUAAUUAUAAACAGUGAAAAAGUAUCAAAAAUUGAUUUACUCGAGCUAGUUCAUCGUGGAAGUUAUUUCCAUCUUUCCAGACAUGUAUGACCGUACUAGAUGGAAGAACUACGUUAUUAUCAAUAACUUCUUGCCACACAAGGUAACGCAUUUCGCCUUUAGUUACAUCUUGUGUAACAUUAAUUAAUCGUUGCAUAUAGAACUGUUCCAAACGAGCGAAAUCUUGUUCCCAUCUCUGUUGUUUCAUAAAAGAUAUAAUUUCAGGAUUGCUGGCCCUAAAAGAAGCCACAAAAGGCACAUGCUUUGAAAAAUUCUGAAGAGAAUUUUGGCAUCUUCAAACGCUAAAUUAUUACCAACAGCUGAAAUCAACUUCAUCCCCUCCAAGAUGAACGUACGCGUCAGGAAACACUUGGAAGAUUUCAGCAAAAAAUUCUCUUAGAAAUUUGUAAUUCUUAGCGGGAACCGGAUUUAUUGGACCAAAAAAGUUGUCUUUUGUUCCAUCUUUUUUAUAGCAGGGAGUAAGUAAACCAGGAGAACCCGGUCCCCAAGACUGCGUGUGUCCUAGACAAAUAAUGUUUUAAACGGUGAUAUGCGAUUAAACACGAAAGUCCUUAUUUACCAGGCGUGUCGAACUCCGGGAUGACCCUGAUGCCUCUCAUCCGAGCAUACUGGAUCACAUAUUCAACAUCCGAGGGACUAUAUACGUGGCUGUACGGAUUGAAAGAUCCUAAUUGACUGAAUCACAAGUAUGCUUACUUAGGCAAGAAAAACAAGAAACUUUGUAAACGGGCUCGAUUUUCACCUCAGACUAGGAAAUUUCCUACUUUCGUAGGGGAAAGCCGGAUCAUCCGUUAUAUGCCAAUGGAAAACAUUCAAUUUGUUCUGAGCCAUUAAGUCCAAGUUAUCUUUUAUAACUGGAAGUGGUAGAAAAUGUCUGGAACUAUCCAGCAGCAAGCCACGAUGAGGAAAUCGCGGAAAGUCCAUUAUCAUUGUUGAAUUUAUUUGGAACUGUCGAAACGGGUAGGUUGUUAUUGGAUGUUCAGCUUCCUGUUACCAUUUUUCUUUUUUGAAUAUUUUAUGGAAGCUGACUUUGACUCACCGCUAUUCCAUUUUGCGAUGAGUAGACUAGUUGACUAAAAGACUCCAGUCCGCGCAGUAUCCCCCAUACACUUUGACCCAAUAUGAUUCCUUCGCGUGGUCUAUCCGUCGCAUCAAUCUUGAUUUCAUCUAUUCAAAUUGUUCGAAGUAAGUAACAAGUUUGCAAUUUUUGACGGUGAAUCAUAAUUUACAGUGUUCAUCCAUGCUGAGUGAAGGUAAUUUUUCACACGGUUGCAUCACAUGAAGAACAACGGUAUCAAGAUAACCUCUGAAAUUUUCAUUCUUUUCCCAGGUCAUGCUGUACUUAUUAGAAAGCUUCUGAAAUCGUUUCGAAGUUCCACUUCCUCUUGGCGGAAAGAAAAUGAGAUCAUAGUAACGGUGAAUAGCUUCCUCAAGGAUAUCGCAAGUAUUUCCAGUAAUCUGCAAUCAAACAGUAGAAUAUUUGUAUCGAUAUAAGAACCUCAAGGACUCCUAAAUUCUUUUCUCUAUAGGCAGCUUGGAUACCUGGAAAUGGAAGUCGCUUGGUCUCAACACCAUAAAAUUGUCGGUAGACUAUCAAAACAUGGAAUAUACAAGAAUUCAAACUUCAUUGUUAUAAUGGACAAAGUUUUAAACGGCAAACUUGUUCAAGUUGGGGUUUGGGCCAAAUCUGACCCACUGUUGGGCGUAUCCAGGCUCCAUUUCCUUUUGGUAAAUCAAAUGGGAAACGAAGAUUGGCCUUUUGAAAGUCCGGUUCUGCUAAUCCGAGUGAAAAAUCCAACAGCAAUAAGAGGAAACUAACACUCUUUAUCGCCAUCUCCUGAGUAUGAAAAAAUCAAACCGCAAGCGUUUGCGUUUAGGGGGCCGAUCAUAGGAUUAGAAAACUCGCCAUCUAGCGUUCCAUGACGCCUGGCGAUUAAUUUAUUUCGUUUUAAAAAUAAAAGCAAUGUUGGCACGCCUUAUACUCAAUAAUGCUAUGGAUACCCAGAAUCAUGGCCCUACGGUUCUACGUUAUUGAAAGAGACCAUGUACCUGAAAAAGUUUGGAUAAUGUUGAACAAGAAUGUGCGAUUCGCUAUUCUCUCCAAAUAGAGCAAAAACUUUCGAUGUCGAAGCUUAACUCGUUGAUAAUUAAUCUAUUGGGAGUCAUGAACACAAUACUUAUUGGUCAUCGAAAACUUGUAUUGACGAUCGUCGCAUUUGAGAAACAAGGUUAGAAGUAUUCCAUCAUAUUAUAGUUUCAUAAGCUAGCAAUGCUGUCGAUAGCCUUGUUGAUAUCGGCAGGAGGAAGUGGCAUGGCUUCGUUAACAAUGAUUUCCUUUUUUUUUGGAAGAGCUGUUAGAUUUUCUCGAACUUCGCCCAAACUACUGUCCAGGUUCUCAAUUUUUUUUCGCAUGUUCGCAUUCAGCUAAUCAGAAAAAAGAGAAAGGGUCUACGAUCAUAAUCUGUCUAUCACUGUAUAAACAUCAACGUCAAAAUGUACCUUUUUCAAAUUUGUGUUAACAGGUUGAGCUUUAAAUUUUGCUUUAGCUUUCGCCGCUUUACCACCCGCAACUCGGAAAAUUGGAUUUUGUUUGUUUUUACCUCCUUUAUUUUUCCCCAUGCUGACAUGGAAGAAAAAAAAAUUGAAUUUAAUAAGAACAACAAAUAGUGGGACAUAUCUCAUGUUCAAACUACCAUGUACCCUAGAAAAGGAUGCAUAAUACUAUUAUUGUUAUCAUUAUAAAUGGUUUUGUUUGGUAAAUGUUGUUGUGUUAAAAAUGCAGCCUAUGCGGAAAAACUUCAUUAAACAUUCUGCUUUCAUUAAACAAGCCUGACUCUUAUGUUGUAUCCUUUUUCAACAACAUGAGAAUGUUGAGACAAUCCAAUGUCAAUACAAUAACCAAGAACCCUUUAUAUAAUAAUAACAAUAAUAAUCAUAUAAAAAUUGUGUGGAAACCAUUGCAUGUUUAAAAUGCAGGCAAAAUGGUUGAUUGUUCCCUGGGAACCUCAAAUGGUGUCCAAGCAUCCAGAUGGCAACCCAAAAAAGUAAGCAAGGCUUACAACCAAUUGUUAUAAGAACAACCAACAAC